rnacentral:rRNA from 1 species
GACGAACGCUGGCGGCGUGCUUAACACAUGCAAGUCGAACGGUAAGGCCCUUCGGGGUACACGAGUGGCGAACGGGUGAGUAACACGUGGGUGAUCUGCCCUGCACUUCGGGAUAAGCCUGGGAAACUGGGUCUAAUACCGGAUAGGACCACUGCCCGCAUGGGCGGUGGUGGAAAGCUUUUGCGGUGUGGGAUGGGCCCGCGGACUAUCAGCUUGUUGGUGGGGUGAUGGCCUACCAAGGCGACGACGGGUAGCCGGCCUGAGAGGGUGACCGGCCACACUGGGACUGAGAUACGGCCCAGACUCCUACGGGAGGCAGCAGUGGGGAAUAUUGCACAAUGGGCGCAAGCCUGAUGCAGCGACGCCGCGUGAGGUAUGACGGCCUUCGGGUUGUAAACCUCUUUCAGCACCGACGAAGCGCAAGUGACGGUAGGUGCAGAAGAAGGACCGGCCAACUACGUGCCAGCCGCCGCAGUAA